rnacentral:rRNA from 1 species
CCCUGCUUCCAGGAAAAGCCUCUAAGCCUCAGGUAACAUCAAAUCGUACCCCAAACCGACACAGGUGGUCAGGUAGAGAAUACCAAGGCGCUUGAGAGAACUCGGGUGAAGGAACUAGGCAAAAUGGUGCCGUAACUUCGGGAGAAGGCACGCUGACACGUAGGUGAAGUGGUUUACCCAUGGAGCUGAAGUCAGUCGAAGAUACCAGCUGGCUGCAACUGUUUAUUAAAAACACAGCACUGUGCAAACACGAAAGUGGACGUAUACGGUGUGACGCCUGCCCGGUGCCGGAAGGUUAAUUGAUGGGGUCAGCGCAAGCGAAGCUCCUGAUCGAAGCCCCGGUAAACGGCGGCCGUAACUAUAACGGUCCUAAGGUAGCGAAAUUCCUUGUCGGGUAAGUUCCGACCUGCACGAAUGGCGUAAUGAUGGCCAGGCUGUCUCCACCCGGGACUCAGUGAAAUUGAACUCGCUGUGAAGAUGCAGUGUACCCGCGGCAAGACGGAAAGACCCCGUGAACCUUUACUAUAGCUUGACACUGAACACUGGUCCUUGAUGUGCAGGAUAGGUGGGAGGCUUUGAAGUGUGGACGCCAGUCUGCAUGGAGCCAUCCUUGAAAUACCACCCUUUAAUGGCUGGUGUUCUAACGUGGGCCCGUGAACCGGGUUGCGGACAGUGUCUGGUGGGUAGUUUGACUGGGGCGGUCUCCUCCUAAAGAGUAACGGAGGAGCACGAAGGUUGGCUAAUCCUGGUCGGACAUCAGGAGGUUAGUGCAAUGGCAUAAGCCAGCUUGACUGCGAGCGUGACGGCGCGAGCAGGUGCGAAAGCAGGUCAUAGUGAUCCGGUGGUUCUGAAUGGAAGGGCCAUCGCUCAACGGAUAAAAGGUACUCCGGGGAUAACAGGCUGAUACCGCCCAAGAGUUCAUAUCGACGGCGGUGUUUGGCACCUCGAUGUCGGCUCAUCACAUCCUGGGGCUGAAGUAGGUCCCAAGGGUAUGGCUGUUCGCCAUUUAAAGUGGUACGCGAGCUGGGUUUAGAACGUCGUGAGACAGUUCGGUCCCUAUCUGCCGUGGGCGCUGGAAGAUUGAGGGGGGCUGCUCCUAGUACGAGAGGACCGGAGUGGACGCAUCACUGGUGUUCGGGUUGUCAUGCCAAUGGCACUGCCCGGUAGCUACAUGCGGAAGAGAUAAGUGCUGAAAGCAUCUAAGCACGAAACUUGCCCCGAGAUGAAUCUUCCCUGAGCCUUUAAGGCUCCUGAAGGAACGUUGAAGACGACGACGUUGAUAGGCCGGGUGUGUAAGCGCAGCGAUGCGUUGAGCUAACCGGUACUAAUGAACCGU